UACGUAGGUGGCGAGCGUUAUCCGGAAUUAUUGGGCGUAAAGAGCGCGCAGGUGGUUGAUUAAGUCUGAUGUGAAAGCCCACGGCUUAACCGUGGAGGGUCAUUGGAAACUGGUCGACUUGAGUGCAGAAGAGGGAAGUGGAAUUCCAUGUGUAGCGGUGAAAUGCGUAGAGAUAUGGAGGAACACCAGUGGCGAAGGCGGCUUCCUGGUCUGUAGCUGACACUGAGGCGCGAAAGCGUGGGGAGCAAACAGGAUUAGA
rnacentral:rRNA from 1 species